AACAUAGAAAAUAAGCCCAAGCAU
rnacentral:siRNA from 1 species